AAGAUCAUGAAACCGUGUAACAGAACUUCUGCAAAGCCCGGUCUAUCUAAUUGCUAUGCUUACUACUGCAGUAAUCUAAUUUAGUAGGAAAACAAAUUAGCUCAAUGUGCCAAGAAUUACAUUUGAAAAGCACAUCUCUUUCCAGAAAUCAAAACAUAGUUACUCAAGAUAAUCCACAAACCUCAUGAACAGUUUCAUUAAAAAAAUAUUAUGACAGUCAUCUUUGGUAGAAAAUAGUUCUCUAUGAAACUGCUCACAACAAUGGCUAUGGAUAGUCUUGAAUUACUGGGUCAUGAUUUCUGAAGGAAACAUUGUCUUCUUUGGUGUAAGAUAGCUGUCAAAAAGAUGUGUCCACAAUUUAAUCAUUCGUAUUUGUAAUGUUGACAAUUUGUGUGCAAAAAAAGUUGUUUAAGUGAAAUGCUGGUAAAGGGAGUUGGAACAAAAAUAGAAUAUUAGAACAUAAUGGGAGAUAGUCUGAACAUGACUGUGACUAAGAGUUAAUGAUACUGUACAAAAUGAUACAUAUUUGAAUUCUGAAGACAAUUCAAUUUCCAGUUCUUUAAUGUUGUAUGUUAAAACUUAUUCAUACUACAGAGCUGUAAUUAGAGAUAAUACUACCAGGUCUAGUAACUUCCCUGUGAGAAACCCUGGAAUGGGAAGUAAAGAAAAAAAUUAUGAAGUUUAAUAUUUAGUGCUCAAGCUACCUAAUAAAAAUGUUUUGUCUGUUAACGCAUUUCUGUGAGAGUUGUUGCUGUGUUGUUGAUUGCAACACCCAGCAUAGAAGUCUAUUUUCAUUCCCUUUGUCUGAGCCUCUGAAGACUCAAAACUCCCCGGAGUCCAUGUGUGCUUCUGCCAUAUUACGGACAACUGCUUUAUUAACCUUGGUCCAUACCAAUACAUACUAGGGACUUUUCAGGCUGUAUUAAAUGCAUGACCAAGGUGGGUUUUGGGCAACACACCUCAAUGGAGAAUGAAUUAAUGUUUUGUUUACAAAUUGCAUCAAACAAACCUCCAGGCCCUACCUACAAGGAACAGUGUGAACCGGACAAAACUAAUUUACAAGGUAUCAUUUUCACCUUUUUUUACUGCGAACUUUCAGAUAUGAAAAUAAACGUUAGCAGCUAACAUUAAGCUAGUUAGGCUAAAACAAGUGCUAACAAAUCAACAUUAGCUAACUUACCGACAGUCUGAGAUUCGUCACUGGAAAUAUAAAAAUCCUCUCGGUCGAGUUUAGUCUCCCUCAAAUUCUUGCAUUCACCGCCAUCGCUACUGUCGGCCGCCAUGGUGCUAGCAUCAGGUGCUGUUGGUUGCGUUUUUUCUGUACACGAGGGCAGUAUCGCCAAUAUGUCUUCUUUUACGGCUUUUCCAGAUCUGGUGAAAGGUCUUUUGGGCAUGGUGAAACAAACUUUUACAGAAAAAAAAAUCAGUUCAGUUGCAUGCACAUUGCAGGAGGCUGUUGUUGGCAAGAGAAAGGUCUGAAACGGUCUGAAUGUGCAUGAACAGUGAUGCUGCGUUCAAGUACAAGUCGGAGGUCGUAAAUUACCACUUCCAAGUAGGAAAAACUGAAUAACAGUCAGUAUGUUUUCUAAAUCCCAGUUCUUCGUAUGACGUAAUUUUACCAUGGCCACCCACAUCGUAAACGGCGAGAAAAUUUUACAUUUUAUGAGUUUUUAUGAAUUUUAAUUACCUCAACCACCGACUUUGUUACUCGAACGCACGUAGGUCUGAGAUAACUUUCCCACCUCCGACCAUACACGAACGCAGCAUGAACUGUAGCCUGUGACCUGUGACCUCAUGGCACAUUUUUGCAUUUUUGGCGCAAACAGGAAGUCUGAAUAGGUCGAACUCACGGAAAAAUGCCAGGUUUAGCCACUGAAAUGAAAGAGUUAAUUGAAGGCUCUAAGUCUAAAAGAAAACGAUCCUUGAAACUUAUAAAAUGGCUACAAAAAAGAAAGCUUCUCAAAAAGAAAAUAAAAUGCAACAUUUGCCAUCACCAAAUGAAGAUGAAGGCCUGCAGUCGUGGAGAUUUAUAUAAAUGGUAAGUAAAGUUACCCAAUCCCCCUUGAAUUAACUUAAUCUGCACCAGAUUACAUCACAGCAGGGCUGUACAGUGCGAGCGUUUCACUCGCAUAUGCGCCUAAAAAUAGAUCGGUGCAAGUAGAAAAAAUAAAAAGGGAGCACACGUGCGAGUACAGAUGUCAACCCUAUCAUUCGCAUUUGCUCCUAAAAUAAAUCCACACAAAGUGGAUCAAACUAAAAGUCAUAGCCUACACCUUCUUCUUCAACAACUUUUUUUCACAUCGGCACGCUACAACACGACAUGGUCAGAAAACCCGUGAGCUCCUCUCGACUCUCAGGCCGUCUCCCCCACACAGUACCGAGCAUCACACAGAUCGCCGCACUUUCUUAAAGCGACAGGCUCCUAUUUUUGUCUUUAGCUUUUAUGAACACAUUAACUUGAAAUAACCAAAUACUGUGUCUGUCUAAAUUAUAAUAAUGCAAAUGACACUAAAUUAAGCAUGUGAAACAGUUUAAAUACCAUAAAGUAAUAACUAAAACUGUCAUCAGUUAACCCAAUCUAUGCAUUCUGCACCUAUAAUCAGACUCCCCUACAAAUGCAAGAUAUGGCAUCAAAAUAUGUCUGGUAUUUAUGUAUAAAGUCUUUAAUAUAAGUAUAGUUCUUAAGUAUAAAGUUAUUUGUAAUUGUUGUUAUUUUUAUUGGGCCAGUUAACAAUAUAAUAGAAUUGAAAUUCUUUAUCCCACACCUGGGAAAUUAUUUGCUACAACGGCUACAACACCAAAUUACAACAAGUUUUUUUUUUUAAAUCCUAGUAAAUUACAGUCUGUAAGAACAGAUCACAGUAUGGCAGAUUAAGAACAGAGAGACUAUUUCAAAACUAGGACUUUAACAGAAAUAUGCAGGUUGAGUUAACUGUGCAGAUUGUAUGAUAUGAAAUAAAAUCUGCAGUCAGAUUGUGUUGGGCCACUUAACAAAAUAUGACUCCCCUAUUAUUUUGGCAAAGAAGUGACAACCUCCAAACUUUCUCAGCUACAACAUCUGCACCUCUGCUGCUGUUGUAUAAGGUCUUGUGUACAUGGUGGCUUCCACCGAGUUUUUUGCUUGGAAAUUAGAAAAAUGUAACACAAUGCCAUCUGAGUGAUAAUGGAAAAUAUGACAAAAGAAAGAAGUCAGUAGACCAAUCACACUCCAAAUGAAAGGAAGCCAUAUUGGUGAAAGUUUUGUUUUCUUUUGUGAGAACAAAAUCAAUAAUUCUUUACAAACUAAUUACAAAAUACACAUACAUAUGUACACCUCCUUUUAUGAGAACAAAAUCAAACAUAAUUCUUUGCAAACUAUUAACAAAAUACACACACACACACACACACACACUCUAAACAUGGGCUUUGGUGUUUCCUUGUGACGGAUGUAGUAUAGAUGUCCAUCUGUAAAAAAUACAUUGGUUUAUUAGUUCACAAAGUCCUGAGGACCAAUGAAGCUGAUGUAUCUGACACUGGUGAGGGAUGAUAAUCUAUUUUGUGGGAGAAGCUUUGUUUGUGCAAUGUCACUGUUAGAACUACAUCCAUUUAUUUGACCACCACCGAAGACCUCAUGAGGAUCAGCUUGGAGGGGCCAUGUCUUGAGGACUUUGAUCCAAGUCCUGCUGUGGACCGCUGGAUGAACUCAGCCAAGCGUGCCAGGACGACUUGAAUACAAAAAGAUGUGGGACAGGAUGUUCUCUGCGUUAAAUAACUGAGCCUACUGCUUGGCUUGUUGUGUGAAUGUUAAUAAUAAAAUUGUGCAAUUCAUCGUGAAAAUUCA